ACAAAACCUCCCCCUUCGCGAAAACUCCAAAACCUAGCCUCAAAACUCAUCUCCACCGAAACUCGACUAAAACCCAUCUCCACCAAAACCUUCCUCUGUGCCUCCUCCGUCACUUUACCGCGUGCGCCGCAACCUAGUCUCCUCCGCCACUCCUCUGCACCGCUAGCGACCUAGUUUCCUCCGCUACUCCUCCACGUUGCCCACAACCUAGCUUCCUUCGCACAAAGGGUUCCAAGAGGUUUCGUCGUUCCUCGCCGCGAAGUCAUCCUUUGCACAAAGGGGCUUCAUCGUUCCUCACAGAGACGUUGUUCCUCACCGCGACGUUGUCCUUCGCACAAAGGGGUCUUGCCGGAGUGAGCUAUAUCCCCUGCCAAAGAAGAGAUCGCCUAGUGAUGCACCUUUCGCACUUGUUCUUCUCUGACUGUCCGCAACCAUUGGAUAUCUGCGACAUAAUUCCCGCACUUAAAGUGGCCUUGCAAUUGCAUUCAUCUCCUAUUGAACUACAUGCAUAGAACACAAGUGGAUCUAUAAUUCAUUCCAACUCAUUCUACAUUCAGAGAGUUAAUUUAUGUUAAGUGGGCAAAGUGUUUGCGGUAAGUUUUGGUUUCUUUUCUUACAUUAUUAUGCUAAUGAUUUUGCAAAUCAUGCUUUGAAGCUGUACUUGCUCUAUUUAUUCUAAUUCUUGUAUCAAAAUUUUUAACUUGUCAAUAGCAUUCUUCUUCUAAAUAACAUGAAUCUUGAGACAAAUCUAUGUUGCUACAUGCUGUGUGCAUAAAAAUUGUUGAUAUGUUUCCUGAAUGACUAUGCUUGAUUUGGCCUUUAGCUUACCCUUGCAGUAUAAUGUCAAUUACAAUAGUUAGCAUUGAUAUAGUGAAACUGAGAAGUACAAUUGUUGAUUAUUUUGAUUUAGAUAUUUGACGAACACUAUUCUUUGGGGGGGGGGGGGGGAUCUAAUCUAAUUUCCUCUUACCUUGUUUAAAACAACUUGCUUGCCACCAUUAGUUAGAAGUUAAUGUUAGGAAAGAAAUAGGAAGCUUUUUCGAGGAGAAAUCCUUAUGAUUUGAUUUUGGGUUUUUAAAUUAUGGGAAAUGUCCUUUGUGCGAAUACUCAUUUAAAUACUUUUCUUAGUGCAUCACAUUUGAACAUUUAUGUUAGUAUAUCCCUCUUCUAACAAACUGAAAUUUAUGUAUUUAACUAUAUAUUACACAGUUUGAUUCAUACAGCCGACCCCACC